rnacentral:rRNA from 1 species
UCAUCUCUUCACGAGGAUCAAUUGGAGGGCAAGUCUGGUGCCAGCAGCCGCGGUAAUUCCAGCUCCAAUAGCGUAUAUUAAAGUUGUUGCAGUUAAAACGCUCGUAGUCGGAUUUCGGGGCAGGUUUGCCGGUCUGCCGAUGGGUAUGCACUGGUAGAACUGUCCUUCCUUCCGGAGACGGCGCCUACUCUUAACUGAGCGGGUGUCGGAGACGGAUCGUUUACUUUGAAAAAAUCAGAGUGUUUCAAGCAGGCAGCUCGCUUUUGCAUGGAUUAGCAUGGGAUAAUGAAAUAGGACUUUGGUGCUAUUUUGUUGGUUUCGAACACCGAAGUAAUGAUUAACAGGGACAGUCAGGGGCACUCGUAUUCCGCCGAGAGAGGUGAAAUUCUUAGACCAGCGGAAGACGAACCACUGCGAAAGCAUUUGCCAGGGAUGUUUUCACUGAUCAAGAACGAAAGUUAGGGGAUCGAAGACGAUCAGAUACCGUCGUAGUCUUAACCAUAAACCAUGCCGACUAGGGAUUGGAGGAUGUUCCUAUGUGACUCCUUCAGCACCUUUCGGGAAACUAAAGUCUUUGGGUUCCGGGGGGAGUAUGGUCGCAAGGCUGAAACUUAAAGGAAUUGACGGAAGGGCACCACCAGGAGUGGAGCCUGCGGCUUAAUUUGACUCAACACGCA